rfam:Selaginella moellendorffii unplaced genomic scaffold SELMOscaffold_9, whole genome shotgun sequence.
GGCUUAUUACCUCAGUUGGUCAGAGCGUGGUCCUAAUAAGGCCAAGGUCACAAGUUCAAGACCUGCAUGGGCCA